CUGGAGGUAUCAGAAGUGCGAAUGCUGACAUAAGUAACGAUAAAGCGGGUGAAAAGCCCGCUCGCCGGAAGACCAAGGGUUCCUGUCCAACGUUAAUCGGGGCAGGGUGAGUCGACCCCUAAGGCGAGGCCGAAAGGCGUAGUCGAUGGGAAACGGGUUAAUAUUCCCGUACUUGGUGUUACUGCGAAGGGGGGACGGAGAAGGCUAUGUUGGCCGGGCGACGGUUGUCCCGGUUUAAGCGUGUAGGUGUGUGUUCCAGGUAAAUCCGGUUCACUUUAACACUGAGGCGUGAUGACGAGGCACUACGGUGCUGAAGCAACAAAUGCCCUGCUUCCAGGAAAAGCCUCUAAGCAUCAGGUAACAUCAAAUCGUACCCCAAACCGACACAGGUGGUCAGGUAGAGAAUACCAAGGCGCUUGAGAGAACUCGGGUGAAGGAACUAGGCAAAAUGGUGCCGUAACUUCGGGAGAAGGCACGCUGACACGUAGGUGAAGUGAUUUACUCAUGGAGCUGAAGUCAGUCGAAGAUACCAGCUGGCUGCAACUGUUUAUUAAAAACACAGCACUGUGCAAACACGAAAGUGGACGUAUACGGUGUGACGCCUGCCCGGUGCCGGAAGGUUAAUUGAUGGGGUCAGCGCAAGCGAAGCUCCUGAUCGAAGCCCCGGUAAACGGCGGCCGUAACUAUAACGGUCCUAAGGUAGCGAAAUUCCUUGUCGGGUAAGUUCCGACCUGCACGAAUGGCGUAAUGAUGGCCAGGCUGUCUCCACCCGAGACUCAGUGAAAUUGAACUCGCUGUGAAGAUGCAGUGUACCCGCGGCAAGACGGAAAGACCCCGUGAACCUUUACUAUAGCUUGACACUGAACAUUGAGCCUUGAUGUGUAGGAUAGGUGGGAGGCUUUGAAGUGUGGACGCCAGUCUGCAUGGAGCCGGCCUUGAAAUACCACCCUUUAAUGUUUGAUGUUCUAACGUGGACCCGUGAUCCGGGUUGCGGACAGUGUCUGGUGGGUAGUUUGACUGGGGCGGUCUCCUCCUAAAGAGUAACGGAGGAGCACGAAGGUUGGCUAAUCCUGGUCGGACAUCAGGAGGUUAGUGCAAUGGCAUAAGCCAGCUUGACUGCGAGCGUGACGGCGCGAGCAGGUGCGAAAGCAGGUCAUAGUGAUCCGGUGGUUCUGAAUGGAAGGGCCAUCGCUCAACGGAUAAAAGGUACUCCGGGGAUAACAGGCUGAUACCGCCCAAGAGUUCAUAUCGACGGCGGUGUUUGGCACCUCGAUGUCGGCUCAUCACAUCCUGGGGCUGAAGUAGGUCCCAAGGGUAUGGCUGUUCGCCAUUUAAAGUGGUACGCGAGCUGGGUUUAGAACGUCGUGAGACAGUUCGGUCCCUAUCUGCCGUGGGCGCUGGAGAACUGAGGGGGGCUGCUCCUAGUACGAGAGGACCGGAGUGGACGCAUCACUGGUGUUCGGGUUGUCAUGCCAAUGGCACUGCCCGGUAGCUAAAUGCGGAAGAGAUAAGUGCUGAAAGCAUCUAAGCACGAAACUUGCCCCGAGAUGAGUUCUCCCUGAGACUUUAAGUCUCCUGAAGGAACGUUGAAGACGACGACGUUGAUAGGCCGGGUGUGUAAGCGCAGCGAUGCGUUGAGCUAACCGGUACUAAUGAACCGUGAGGCUUAACCUU
rnacentral:rRNA from 1 species